CAGGAUGACGUAUAGCGUAGUUAUUGGUUGACGUGUGGCAAAUCCACGACCCAAUUAGAGAACACUUUAGAGGUUAUAAGAGCUCUGAGUGGGUUGUGAACGUUAAGCGUCAUCCAGCGGUACCGCCCUUUCGGUGGACGCGGGUUUUUAUGAAUGGAUGGAUAAUGAUCGCUCCGUGGGCUGUCUCAUCGCUGUGGCGGUGUUUUAUAAAUGUUGGAUCCCUCUUGGUAACAUGCACACCUUCAGGGUGUCCGCAACCUAGUAAAUGGGGCGGAAUUUGACUCGUCUGAGAUGACUGCACUGCUGCCUUGCCUGGGCUUGGAUUCCCUAUUUUAAUUGUACCGCACGUUCAUGACGCGCAUGGCGACCACGGCUGAGUUCACGUCCCUUCACCGAACCGGUGUUUCGAAAGCAGUAAUUGCGUUUCCUGGUCAUCUGCCUGCGUGAGGAUGGUAUUUUGAAAAGGAAAUUCCGUAUUGAACUCUCUGCUGUAUGUCUGUCCCUCUGGUCGCGCUGGGAUGAACUUGACCGUAACUUUGUUCGUUUGUUUGUGGAUUUUUUGUUUGCUUUAAUAAAUCGUUGCGAUUUAUUUUUGUUUCUUUUGUUUUGGUUAUUGUUGUAUUUUAUGUGAGUGUUAUUUGGUUGAAUUGUAUUUUGUUUGAAUGUAUUUAAAGUGAGAGACGUUGGUUGUGGGCUAAAGUUCACCAAGGGUUGUUUGGUAAUUUGCAGUGUUUUACGAACGUUGCUGUGGUAUUUUUGGAGUGUGGUGUGUAAGGUACACGCUCCCUGCUGACCAUCCACUUUAAAUUCUAUUGUCUUUUGGUCCUGUCUGUUGUUGUUAUUUUUAUUGUUAUCAUUGUUAUUUUUGUUCUUGUUAAAUAUGUAAAAUAAAGACUUUAUAUUUUUAA